UACGUAGGGUGCAAGCGUUAAUCGGAAUUACUGGGCGUAAAGCGUGCGCAGGCGGUUGUGUAAGACAGAUGUGAAAUCCCCGGGCUCAACCUGGGAACUGCAUUUGUGACUGCACAGCUGGAGUGCGGCAGAGGGGGAUGGAAUUCCGCGUGUAGCAGUGAAAUGCGUAGAUAUGCGGAGGAACACCGAUGGCGAAGGCAAUCCCCUGGGCCUGCACUGACGCUCAUGCACGAAAGCGUGGGGAGCGAACAGG
rnacentral:rRNA from 1 species